AAAAAAAAAAAUCCCGGCUAGACGACGCUGGCGGCGUGCUUAUACAUGCAAGUCGAACGCUUCUUUCCUCGCGAGUGCUUGCACUCAAUUGGAAAGAGGAGUGGCGGACGGGUGAGUAACACGUGGGUAACCUACCCAUCAGAGGGGGAUAACACUUGGAAACAGGUGCUAAUACCGCAUAACAGUUUAUGCCGCAUGGCAUAAGAGUGAAAGGCGCUUUCGGGUGUCGUUGAUGGAUGGACCCGCGGUGCAUUAGCUAGUUGGUGAGGUAACGGCUCACCAAGGCCACGAUGCAUAGCCGACCUGAGAGGGUGAUCGGCCACACUGGGACUGAGACACGGCCCAGACUCCUACGGGAGGCAGCAGUAGGGAAUCUUCGGCAAUGGACGAAAGUCUGACCGAGCAACGCCGCGUGAGUGAAGAAGGUUUUCGGAUCGUAAAACUCUGUUGUUAGAGAAGAACAAGGACGUUAGUAACUGAACGUCCCCUGACGGUAUCUAACCAGAAAGCCACGGCUAACUACGUGCCAGCAGCCGCGGUAAUACGUAGGUGGCAAGCGUUGUCCGGAUUUAUUGGGCGUAAAGCGAGCGCAGGCGGUUUCUUAAGUCUGAUGUGAAAGCCCCCGGCUCAACCGGGGAGGGUCAUUGGAAACUGGGAGACUUGAGUGCAGAAGAGGAGAGUGGAAUUCCAUGUGUAGCGGUGAAAUGCGUAGAUAUAUGGAGGAACACCAGUGGCGAAGGCGGCUCUCUGGUCUGUAACUGACGCUGAGCUCGUAGCG
rnacentral:rRNA from 1 species